rnacentral:siRNA from 1 species
GGGUUGAGUUGUUAAAUG